GUUCGCCAAAUAACUACGAGUAAAAACUUAAAAUUUAAAAGACUUGACGGUACCUUAAAACAACCUAGAGGAGCCUGUCCAAUAACCGAUACUCCACGAUUAACCCAACCCACCCUAGCCCAACAGUCUAUAUACCGCCGUCGCCAGUCUACCUUGUGAAAGAAACAAAGUAAGCCAAAUAGUCAUACACUAAUACGACAGGUCGAGGUGUAACUUAUGGGUGGGCCAAAGAUGGGCUACAUUUUCUAAAUGCAGAAAAUACGGAUAAAUCUAUGAAAUAGAAACUGAAGGCGGAUUUAGAAGUACAGUGGGAACAACAACCCCAAUAGAAAUCAACGCAAUGAGGUGCGCACACACCGCCCGUCAUCCCUGUCAACACAAACCAAAAAUAUACAUAAACACAAAGAACUACCAAAGCAGGGCAAGUCGUAACAUGGUAAGCGUACUGGAAAGUGCGCUUAGAAA
rnacentral:rRNA from 1 species